GAAACAGAACUAGAGAAGAUAGCAAAAACCAAACCAAUUAUAACAAUCUCUGUUUAAAAAAGUUGAAUGCACAUUUGACAUUUCACCUUGAGCAAUCUAUGAUGUCGACUUCUGCCGACGGUGAGUUUUGAAUCAAAAAGUCCACUAUGCCAUUGGGUGUGGGUGAAAUGGUUCUGAUCCUGCUUUAAAUUCUUUUUGAAACUUGGCAGUUCUCAGUGUCAUGGAUAAUCCAUAUGAAAGUGGUUUUAGUUGUACUUUAAGCGAUUUCAAGUUACACAAGGAAGUGAGCUUAUCCUUCAAUAAAUCGGGAAUUAAGGAGAGAACCUGAACGAUGAGGGAUGAGGGUGAGGUAGGACUAGUUUGAUACAAUUCAAUUGAUUUUUGACAAAAGUUAGAAACAUGAAAAAUAAA
rnacentral:lncRNA from 1 species